rnacentral:lncRNA from 1 species
ACAGGCUCAAACGACCAUGGUACGCUGGAACAGAGCCGAAGAGGAAUCUGAGACCUCGAAUCCACGGUGGUCUAGGUUCAACCCUUCGUAGUCAAGCCUCGAAUUAUCAGGUAUCACGCACGUAUGAGCACCAGGAGGUAGGUGUAAGACUCAUAUAGCUUUGAUGGUCAUAGAUUCCGAUGGAUUUUAGGGCAGAUGUACAUAGGAUUAGAGAAGGUUCGAGAGUGUUUGAGAGAAGGGGAGGGUUUUAGAGGCGGCUGG